UACGAAGGGGGCGAGCGUUGUUCGGAAUCACUGGGCGUAAAGCGCACGUCGGCGGCGCGUUAAGUCAGGGGUGAAAUCCUGGAGCUCAACUCCAGAACUGCCUUUGAUACUGGCGUGCUCGAGUGUGGGAGAGGUUGGUGGAACUCCGAGUGUAGAGGUGAAAUUCGUAGAUAUUCGGAAGAACACCAGUGGCGAAGGCGCCCAACUGGCCCAUUACUGACGCUGAGGUGCGAAAGCGUGGGGAGCAAACAGG
rnacentral:rRNA from 1 species